AAUGCCUAGGAAUCUGCCUGGUAGUGGGGGAUAACGUUCGGAAACGGACGCUAAUACCGCAUACGUCCUACGGGAGAAAGCAGGGGACCUUCGGGCCUUGCGUUAUCAGAUGAGCCAAGGUCGGAUUAGCUAGUUGGUGAGGUAAUGGCUCACCAAGGCGACGAUCCGUAACUGGUCUGAGAGGAUGAUCAGUCACACUGGAACUGAGACACGGUCCAGACUCCUACGGGAGGCAGCAGUGGGGAAUAUUGGACAAUGGGCGAAAGCCUGAUCCAGCCAUGCCGCGUGUGUGAAGAAGGUCUUCGGAUUGUAAAGCACUUUAAGUUGGGAGGAAGGGUUGUAGAUUAAUACUCUGCAAUUUUGACGUUACCGACAGAAUAAGCACCGGCUAACUCUGUGCCAGCAGCCGCGGUAAUACAGAGGGUGCAAGCGUUAAUCGGAAUUACUGGGCGUAAAGCGCGCGUAGGUGGUUUGUUAAGUUGGAUGUGAAAUCCCCGGGCUCAACCUGGGAACUGCAUUCAAAACUGACUGACUAGAGUAUGGUAGAGGGUGGUGGAAUUUCCUGUGUAGCGGUGAAAUGCGUAGAUAUAGGAAGG
rnacentral:rRNA from 1 species